AGCAUUAGAUCAUGGUGUCGUGGCUGUUGGAUAUGGUACAGAUAAGGGUAAAGAUUAUUGGAUCGUAAGGAAUUCAUGGGGUCCUAGCUGGGGAGAGGAUGGGUAUGUCAGAUUAGAGAGAAACCUGGUUUCAGCUAGAUCAGGCAAGUGUGGAAUUGCAAUUGAGCCAUCUUAUCCCAUUAAGAAAGGUCCAAAUCCCCCUAAUCCCGGACCAUCACCCCCUUCACCCGUGAGCCCACCAAAUGUUUGUGACAAUUACUAUAGCUGUGCCGAUAGUGCCACUUGUUGCUGUAUUUUCCCAUAUGGAAAUUACUGCUUCGAGUGGGGUUGCUGCCCUCUUGAAGGUGCUACCUGCUGUGAAGACAACUACAGUUGCUGCCCUCAUGAUUAUCCAGUCUGUGACAUUUAUCGUGGUGUUUGUCUGAAGAGUAAGAACAAUCCAAUUGGAGUGAAGGCAUUGAGGCGUACUCCAGCUAAACCCCAUUGGGCCUUUGGAGAUACUAACAAGGUCAGCAGUGCUUAAGCAGUUAAAGGGAAUGUGUACGUGCAGAAGGAGCCGAUGCUGAAGUAAAGGGAAGAUGAAGGACUGAAACACUAUCCAAUACACUUCUCCUUUAACUUUCUCAUAUGCUGCUGCACAUAACUUACAGAUCAUUGCCAUUUUAUUAAGAUGCAAACAGAAGUAUUCUGCAUCAAAUUUCAGUCAGACAUUGGCUUUGUACAUAGGGUUAUAUUAUUUAUGCACUGUAUUUGUAUUCAAAUUCUAAAUGGCGAACUUAUUUGAUUGCUGUUAGUUUCCAACUUCUGUAGAUUAUUCUAUAAUGCAGCAAUGCUUGGAUUUAUCCCAUAUUCAAAUGCUAUUUUAGUUACAAUGUGGAGUACA